CCCAUCUCUCCCCUCACCUGGCUCUGUCUUGCUGCUUGGAUAAUCUCGGUUGUCUUGAAGAAGGUUGCAGAAAAAAUGGCACUUCCUGGAAAUUCCAGAUGUGGGAAGGGCGAAGAGGCUGGAGAACUGAAGCAGAGAGACCUCCUUUCUUCCCGGGGCGGGGGACCCAGCUCAGCUUCAAGUCCUGCCCACAUGUGCGGUGGAUUUGCUGUAAUCCCAAAUUAAUGCUCGGAGACACUCACUGAGGAUAGCCACGACAAAAAUAGGUAACGGGGUGCUCACUCUGCUCCCAGGACCUCUUCAAGCCCUUUACAUAGCUCAUCCCAUUUAAUCCUCUCCCAACAAUCCUGGCACGGUUCCUAUAAUUAUCCCUGUUUUGUGGAUGAGGAAACGGAGGCACAGAAGACUUAAGAAAUGUCCAGAGUCAC